AACGUAGGAGACGAGCGUUAUCCGGAUUUACUGGGCGUAAAGCGCGUGUAGGAGGCAGCACAAGUUGGAUGUAAAAUCUCCCGGCUUAACUGGGAGGCGUCGUUCAAAACUGUGAAGCUAGAGUAGUGGAGAGGUAAUCGGAACUCCGGGAGUAGCGGUGAAAUGAGUAGAUAUCCGGAAGAACACCAGAGGCGAAAGCGGAUUACUGGCCAUCAACUGACACUAAGACGCGGAAGCCAGGGUAGCAAAC
rnacentral:rRNA from 1 species